AACAGUAAUCAAUAUAAUGGAAAUAUUAUUUUAAUUUCUUUUUUUUUAUACCAGUUUUAUAUUACUUGAAUAAAUUAAUUACAUAUAAUUUUUUUUAAAUAGUUUAUCUUUCAUAUACUAACUGCAAGUUCAUCAUGUACCACCAGUGGAAUGCAUAUCAUAGGUUGAGAAUCACUGCUCUAGAGUGAUACUGUUUCAUGCUUGUUAGGCAUUUUUUCUUCCUUAUCCAGCUUUAUGAUAUAUCAAGUGCAAAGCAUUUUUAUUAUAUCCAUCUUAGCUCCAUAUAUCAUAAUCCAGUCUACUUUCUCUUUGUUAUUUACUUUCAUAUAAUAUAUAACUGCUCUCCUGAAGGACGAAUAAAGGCCGCUAUUUUGAACAUUAUUGUUCAAUAUAGAUUAAUCCUUUAUUCAUCCUUUGGGACAAAUAAAGGAUUAGUGUAUAUUGAACAAUAUUAAAUUUAAUCAAAUAUGUCAAUAUUUUAUUAAUUAAAAGUUAAUAAGUCUUAAAUACUUAAUUUUUG
rnacentral:lncRNA from 1 species